GCCUACGGGGGGCUGCAGUGGGGAAUUUUGGACAAUGGGGGCAACCCUGAUCCAGCCAUGCCGCGUGAGUGAAGAAGGCCUUCGGGUUGUAAAGCUCUUUCGGCCGGGAAGAAAUCGCAUCAGCUAAUACCUGGUGUGGAUGACGGUACCGGAAUAAGAAGCACCGGCUAACUACGUGCCAGCAGCCGCGGUAAUACGUAGGGUGCGAGCGUUAAUCGGAAUUACUGGGCGUAAAGCGUGCGCAGGCGGUUGUGUAAGACAGGCGUGAAAUCCCCGGGCUCAACCUGGGAACUGCGCUUGUGACUGCACAGCUAGAGUACGGCAGAGGGGGGUGGAAUUCCACGUGUAGCAGUGAAAUGCGUAGAGAUGUGGAGGAACACCGAUGGCGAAGGCAGCCCCCUGGGCCGAUACUGACGCUCAUGCACGAAAGCGUGGGUAGCAAACAGGAUUAGAUACCCUAGUAGUC
rnacentral:rRNA from 1 species